GAAGAAAGACACCGAAGAUCUCUGGUUUUAUAAAAAUCGAUACUUCUGAGAAUCUUCGAAAUAUUUUCUCAAAAAUGCUCCAUUCAACCCCUCGUUCCCCUGAAAAGAGGUUGAAAUUUUUUGUUACUCUAUUCCUCACAGUAUUUUGGGAAAUCGCUUAGGUCCUCUUUGCUUUUCACUGCUUGCCGUUGUCUUUCAAUUGAAAUUUCCAACAAAAGUAAGAAACAAUGCGAUUUUCAAAGAAAAUUUAUGAAAGCUAGAUCAAAACAAGAAUUGUGAUUUUUUUUAAUAUGUGGGUGAAAUUUACUCAUCUCAUACAUUUUGAGCUUGAAUUUUGCUGGUUGCGUUCGACUGCAAAUCGAACAAACAUAACCUUACAAGUAGCUGAGUUGGUCAAUAAGAGCUUAUGGCUGAUUCAUGGACCACUUGAGUCAACUGUAACUGACACACGGCUGAUCAACAAAAUUUGGCUCCUGGGAUAUUGCAAUUUUUUGUCAUGUGUGAUUCUAACCUUAUGAUUGAUCCCUCUUUUAUGUUGUCGAUCCUUUGACUAUCAGUUUAUGAAAUUUUACCUAGUGGAAAAGGUGUAUAUUGGUUUAUGUUUCUUCAUGGGUCCAACCCACAAUCUCUAGAAGAUUAAAUUUUGUUGAUUUUGUCAUCGUUUCCCCUUUGUAAAACAUUCGAUUUUACCAUUCCAUCUUUAUUUUUAAUACACGAUAAGACUUUAAAUGACUUCAAAUUGAAUCAUCACAAUAUCAGAGAAUUUUUCUUGUCCAAUGAAUCUCUUAAGACUGCCCAGAAAGGUUGGUUUCAGGAACAUCCUAACAGAAAGGUGUACCUUUAUCAGGCUUUGCACUAAUGAUAAGAUGACACUCACUUUAAGGAAGCCUCCUCUAAGCAAUUUGACUAAUGGACCACUAAACAAGGUGCAAAUUUAGGCAUUCUGAUAUGUGUCGUGUAUCCUGUUCAACAUUUCACGGGAAACACAACUCGGGCAACGAAAAUCACAGACAUUACCUCCUUUGUGAGACACUUAAUGUGUUUUGAUGUGUGGAUUUCACCUCCUAUUCAUGUAAAAACAAAAGUUUACGUGAGUCAAAUCGCGCACUAAACGUUACUGUAACAGUCUCUGCUGUAUCAAAUUAUGGUAGACUCAAUCUCGGUGCUUUGACUCAGCUGUUGUACGUUGUAAACACUUUGAACAACACAAGGCAGAAGAGGAACCCUGCUCAAUUAAGAAGUCUGCUAAAACUAGGGCUGUGCAAGCCUGAUUUUAUAGGUUCGAGCCGAGCUCAAGCUUUUUAGACUUUUUCGAGCCGAGCUCGAGCUUUUUCGAGCUUGUGAAUAGGAUCGAGCCCGAGUCAAGCUCGAGCUUUUUCCGAGCUUUUUAAAAAUUUAAUGAUGCAUUUCUUCCCGGUUUUAUUACGUACAUUUCGAAAACUCUACUUCAGUAUUCCCUCCAACAAUUUUUUGUUGGACAUUUCUCAAACUCGAUACCUUCGAGCCGAGCUCGAGCUUGGCACCGAGCUCGAGCUUGAAUUUAACCUUCGAGCCGAGCUCGAGCUUGGCGCCGGGCUCGAGCUCGAGCUCGAAUAUCGAGUGCUCGCACAGCCCUAGCUAAAACCGUUGAACAACACAAGGUGGAGAAGGAAGCUUGCUCGAUUAAACCGUCGUGGUGCGCGAUUUGAUACAAGUAACUAUUGUUUCCCUUGUGAGCAAGGAAUUCAAAUUUCCGGUAGCCUAUGUAAACUAUAAACACUAAUAUCUUAGUUAGCAGUUGUUUUCGGUAUUUUUUCUCUUUUUUUUCGGCUAAUCGUGCUCUACGUAAAAUUUUGGUCAGGAAACAUAGAUCAGAAUGCUUACAUUUGCAAUUUAUCUAGUGGCUUGUUGAAUUGUUGAUCCAAUUGUUCAGAAAAAUUUUCUUAAAACUAAUCCAGGCAUUUUUUCCAUUGCAUUUCGACUUUUGACAACGUCUGAAUCCUGUUUCCAUGAACUGUUUUCAUGCCUCGUUUACUUGUGAAAGGAGUCCUAUUUUAGAAACUUGCAGAAGUCUUACCUGAAUUUUUCUGAAACAUUUUUUCAUUAGUGAGAGAUACUUGAAGGUAUUAUUCCUUACUUGAAUAAUACCUAUAAUAACAUGUGUGUAUUUAUGUACAUCAGAAAUGGCUUCUUUCAUUAAAACUCUGUCCUCUUCAGUUUUUUCAUUUAUUUUUUUCAACUGUAUUUUACUCUCACUAUGAUGAGUCUGAUUCUAACCAUGAGUCAAUGAAGAUCAAUCAUUUUCCGCAAUGAAUAAGUGGACUCAUUAUCCAUGCGGAGAAAUUGCACGGUCAUAUCAAUGACCAAAGUGCGAAACCACAUAUCUCCAUCGCGAUGUUUCAAAAUUUCCGCUCCUUUUUUAUUUAUUCAAAGAAUAUGAAGGGAACCUUAUAACUAAAAAUUCAUACAGAAUACUUCUUACAGGGAAGAAAAAAUGACGUCAGUUUUCAAGAAAGACGGUCACUAAUUUCCCAAAGAAAAAAUAAAGCAUGGCAGGAAGUCUGCAACGUCGCAAACGGAUACACAUGGUUUCGCACUUUAGCCAUCAAUAUGUAAAUCUGUUAUGUUAUUAAUUUUUCACAAAACUUUAUUUAUUUCAUCCUAUGUAAACAUAGGUAAGCAUAUGCUCUGUAAUCAUAGGUAGUUCAAAAUUAUCGUUGUAUCAUAAUGCUUUAGUGCUAUAAAUAUACAAAUCUGAUCAAAU
rnacentral:lncRNA from 1 species